GAUGAACGCUGGCGGCGUGCCUAAUACAUGCAAGUCGAGCGAACAGACGAGGAGCUUGCUCCUCUGACGUUAGCGGCGGACGGGUGAGUAACACGUGGAUAACCUACCUAUAAGACUGGGAUAACUUCGGGAAACCGGAGCUAAUACCGGAGAAUAUAUUGAACCGCAUGGUUCAAUGGUGAAAGACGGUUUUGCUGUCACUUAUAGAUGGAUCCGCGCCGCAUUAGCUAGUUGGUAAGGUAACGGCUUACCAAGGCAACGAUGCGUAGCCGACCUGAGAGGGUGAUCGGCCACACUGGAACUGAGACACGGUCCAGACUCCUACGGGAGGCAGCAGUAGGGAAUCUUCCGCAAUGGGCGAAAGCCUGACGGAGCAACGCCGCGUGAGUGAUGAAGGUCUUCGGAUCGUAAAACUCUGUUAUUAGGGAAGAACAAAUGUGUAAGUAACUAUGCACGUCUUGACGGUACCUAAUCAGAAAGCCACGGCUAACUACGUG
rnacentral:rRNA from 1 species